rnacentral:rRNA from 1 species
AUUGAACGCUGGCGGCAGGCCUAACACAUGCAAGUCGAGCGCGCGGCGGACGGGUGAGUAAUGUCUGGGAAACUGCCUGAUGUGGGGGGAUAACUACUGGAGACGGUAUCUAAUACCGCAUACCCUCAGAUUUGCCCCGAUGGGAUUUGCUAGUAGGUGGGGUAAAGGCUCACCUAGGCGACGCUCCCUAGCUGGUCUGAGAGGAUGACCAGCCACACUGGAACGGAGACACGGUCCAGACUCCUACGGGAGGCAGCAGUGGGGAAUAUUGCACAAUGGGCGCAAGCCUGAUGCAGCCAUGCCGCGUGUAUGAAGAAGGCCUUCGGGUUGUAAAGCACUUUCAGCGGGGAGGCGUUACCCGCAGAAGAAGCACCGGCUAACUCCGUGCCAGCAGCCGCGGUAAUAC